rnacentral:rRNA from 1 species
CGGCUGUUCGCCGUUUAAAGUGGUACGUGAGCUGGGUUUAGAACGUCGUGAGACAGUUCGGUCCCUAUCUGCCGUGGGUGUAGGAAGUUUGAGAGGAUCUGCCUUUAGUACGAGAGGACCGAGGUGGACGUACCUCUGGUGGACCAGUUGUUGCGCCAGCAGCAUAGCUGGGUAGCUAAGUACGGACGGGAUAACCGCUGAAUGCAUCUAAGCGGGAAACCCACCUUAAAACUAGACUUCCCUAUCAGAGCCGUGGAAGACCACCACGUUGAUAGGCCGGGUGUGGAAGUGCGGUAACGCAUGAAGCUAACCGGUACUAAUAGCUCGAUUGUUUUAUUUUG